rnacentral:rRNA from 1 species
CCUACGGGAGGCAGCAGUGGGGAAUAUUGGACAAUGGGCGAAAGCCUGAUCCAGCCAUGCCGCGUGUGUGAAGAAGGUCUUCGGAUUGUAAAGCACUUUAAGUUGGGAGGAAGGGUUGUAGAUUAAUACUCUGCAAUUUGACGUACCGACAGAAUAGCCGGAUU